UACGGAGGGUGCGAGCGUUAAUCGGAAUCACUGGGCGUAAAGCGCACGUAGGCGGUGUCGUAAGUCGGACGUGAAAACCCUCGGCUCAACCGGGGAACUGCGUUCGAUACUGCGAUGCUUGAGUGCCGGAGAGGGUGGCGGAAUUCCAGGUGUAGGAGUGAAAUCCGUAGAUAUCUGGAGGAACACCAGUGGCGAAGGCGGCCACCUGGCCGGCAACUGACGCUGAGGUGCGAAAGCGUGGGGAUCAAACAGGAUUAGAUACCCUGGUAGUCCACGCUGUAAACGAUGGAUGCUAGGUGUCGGGAGUUUACUCUCGGUGCCGCAGUUAACGCGUUAAGCAUCCCGCCUGGGGAGUACGGUCGCAAGGCUGAA
rnacentral:rRNA from 1 species